rfam:Streptomyces sp. SolWspMP-5a-2 genome assembly, contig: Ga0115242_1084
GCCGGUCCUCGGUAGUGGCCCCCGGGAGUACGGAAACCCCGGGAGCUUCGAUCGAAGACCGGU